UAACUGAGCCUGAACAUGCUUCAGGUUGUGCUGGACGGUACAAUCUGAGGGCCAGAUGUCAUCCCUAGGAUCACGACUGGUUGGUCGGAUCAUAAAUGGACAAAUAUAUACCGUACUGACUGACUUAACAAGGUGCGAUUUGUGCUUGACCUGUUCCAGUCCUCUGUAGUGGCUCUGGUUACUUCCUGGAUUUUGACUGUACCUGGCAAGCGGGGCUUCUUUCCUGACACUAAUUCUCUCCCUGGCGGUUUUCCCAGAUUCUCCAAUCGCUGUCCUUUCCGGCAGUAUAUGUCAAGCAAGCCAGCAAAAUAUGCCAUCAAAAUAUGGGCCACUGUGGUCCUCAUUAUUAUGUUCUGUGAUGCAAAAUCCAGCUAUGCAUGGAAUAUGCAUAGCUGAAUAUGUGUACACAGGGAAACUGCCGAGUAGAACCAGGGUAUGUGGGUUGUGCUUGAAUUGACAGUUGGACUGAAGGGGCAUAAUGUCACUUGUGACAAUUUUUCCACCUCCUAUGAACUCGGCCAGCAGUAAAUGAAGAUAUGGUUGGCACUGAAGAAUAAGCCUGAACUUCCCCCCUGCACUCCUCAAAACAAGGCAGAGCGGUCUUCUUAUCAAAGUUCGCCUUUGGGAGAUGAAUAUUGUCCUGAUCCACCUGAGGCUGCAGCUGGGUCAGUCAUAAGAAAAAGGUGCCAGUUCAGCCCCUGGAAGGAAUGCAAGACAAAAGCUAUGUACUGCACAUGUGAGAAAUACAUCUG